UAUACUGACCCUGAGUGGUCUGGUUAUGGUUGUGGUUACCCCGCGGUUCAGUUGAUGGCCUCCCGAAUAAGCCAUCAGGCUAGAUUCGCGAUCUUAUAGGCGGUGCUGUGGCAUUGGACCUUAAGAGCGGUGCCCUGGGCCCUGUGGCACCUCCGGCCAUGGGUAGUUCAGGGCGUCCCGCUGGCCGCACGGUGGAUUACAGUACAGGGCCCCCUCUCGCUCGCUGAGGAUCGGCAUUCUGGACAACAAUACGCUUGGCGCUCAGGUCCAACAUCUAAGUUGAUGGCAUUCCGAAUAAGCCCUCCGGCCAGACGAGCGGCGACCUCCGCGGAUGCGUGCAUUUUCCAGAACCUAAACCCAUUCGACCGUCAGGCCGUCUAGGGGGACCAGCUCUAGAUUAGCCCCGAAUUAGAUGCACCUGGGAGGGCACCUGGCGGCCGGCAUACGUGCUGGUGUUCAGCCGGAAUGUU
rnacentral:misc_RNA from 1 species